UAGGGAAUCUUCCACAAUGGACGAAAGUUUGAUGGAGCAACGCCGCGUGAGCGAUGAAGGCCUUCGGGUCGUAAAGCUCUGUUGUUAGGGAAGCGGUACCUAACCAGAAAGCCACGGCUAACUACGUGCCAGCAGCCGCGGUAAUACGUAGGUGGCAAGCGUUGUCCGGAAUUAUUGGGCGUAAAGCGCGCGCAGGUGGUUCUUUAAGUCUGAUGUGAAAGCCCACGGCUCAACCGUGGAGGGCAUUGGAAACUGGGGAACUUGAGUGCAGAAGAGGAAAGUGGAAUUCCAAGUGUAGCGGUGAAAUGCGUAGAGAUUUGGAGGAACACCAGUGGCGAAGGCGACUUCUGGUCUGUAACUGACACUGAGGCGCGAAAGCGUGGGGAGCAAACAGGAUUAGAUACCCUUGUAGU
rnacentral:rRNA from 1 species